UACGAAGGGGGCUAGCGUUGCUCGGAAUGACUGGGUGUAAAGGGCGCGUAGGCGGACUGCACAGUCAGGCGUGAAAUGCCUGGGCUUAACCUGGGGACUGCGUCUGAGACGUGUGAUCUAGAGUUAGGAAGAGGGUCGUGGAAUUUCCAGUGUAGAGGUGAAAUACGUAGAUAUUGGAAAGAACACCGGUGGCGAAGGCGGCGACCUGGUCCUUGACUGACGCUGAGGCGCGAAAGCGUGGGGAGCAAACAGG
rnacentral:rRNA from 1 species